GUGCCAGCAGCCGCGGUAAUACGUAGGGCGCAAGCGUUAUCCGGAAUUAUUGGGCGUAAAGAGCUCGUAGGCGGUUUGUCGCGUCUGCCGUGAAAGUCCGGGGCUCAACUCCGGAUCUGCGGUGAGUACGGGCAGACUAGAGUGAUGCAGGGGAGACUGGAAUUCCUGGUGUAGCGGUGAAAUGCGCAGAUAUCAGGAGGAACACCGAUGGCGAAGGCAGGUCUCUGGGCAUUAACUGACGCUGAGGAGCGAAAGCAUGGGGAGCGAACAGGAUUAGAUACCCUGGUAGUCCAUGCCGUAAACGUUGGGCACUAGGCGUGGGGGACAUUCCACGUUUUCCGCGCCGUAGCUAACGCAUUAAGUGCCCCGCCUGGGGAGUACGGCCGCAAGUCUAAAACUCAAAGGAAUUGACGGGGGCCCGCACAAGCGGCGAGCAUGCGGAUUAAUUUCGAUGCAACGCGAAGAACCUUACCAAGGCUUGACAUGAACCGGAAAACACCUGAAAACAGGUGCCCCGCUUUGCGUUCGGUUUACAGGUGGUGCAUGUUGUCGUCAGCUCGUGUCGUGAGAUGUUGGUUAAGUCCCGCAACGAGCGCAACCUCGUUCUAUGUUGCCAGCGCGUUAUGCGGGACUCAUAGAGACUGCGGUCAACUCGAGAGUGGACGACGUCAAUCAUCAUGCCCUAAUGUCUUGGCUCAGCAUGCUACAUGCGGUACAGGCUGCGAUACUGUAGUGAGCUAAUCCUAAGCCGUCUCAGUCGAAUGGUCUGCACUCGAACUCAUGAAGU
rnacentral:rRNA from 1 species